rnacentral:ncRNA from 1 species
UACCUGGUUGAUCCUGCCAGUAGUCAUAUGCUUGUCUCAAAGAUUAAGCCAUGCAUGUGUAAGCACACACUGUUUUAAAAGUGAAGCCGCGAAUGGCUCAUUACAACAGCCACAGUUUAUUAGAACUUACAAUCAUGGAUAACUGUGGUAAUUCUAGAGCUAAUACACGCACAAAAACUUCAACUGAAUUGGUUGAAGUGCUUUUAUUAGAACAAAAACCGAACGGCGUUUGACGAAUGUUGAACGUCGAAACUGUUUGGUGAAUCUGAAUAACUAUUUCUGAUCGCAUGGUCUAGCACCGGCGACAUCACUUUCAAGUGUCUGCCUUAUCAACCUUCGAUGGUAGUCUAUGCGACUACCAUGGUGAUAACGGGUAACGGAGAAUCAGGGUUCGACUCCGGAGAGGGAGCCUGAGAAACGGCUACCACAUCCAAGGAAGGCAGCAGGCGCGCAAAUUACCCACUCCCAGCUUGGGGAGGUAGUGACGAAAAAUAACGAGACGAUUCUCGUUUGAGAAACGUUAUCGAAAUGAGUACGCUUUACACACGCUAACGAGUAGCAAUUGGAGGGCAAGUCUGGUGCCAGCAGCCGCGGUAAUUCCAGCUCCAAUAGCGUAUAUUAAAGUUGCUGCGGUUA